UCACAUAAUUUGGAACCAAGCAUGGCUG
rnacentral:sRNA from 1 species